GGGGGCGACAGGUUUCGACGGGGAUCAGUGAGGUCCAGGCUGCGUCUCGAGGUUUCUCUCCCCUCGUUAAAUAGAGAGAACGGUAUAGCUGCCGACACU
rnacentral:tmRNA from 1 species